UACAGGGGGUGCAAGCGUUGCUCGGAAUUAUUGGGCGUAAAGCGCACGUAGGCGGUCUGUUAUGUCGGAUGUGAAAGCCCUUGGCUCAACUGAGGAAGUGCAUCCGAAACUGGCAGGCUAGAGUACUAAAGAGGGUCGCGGAAUUCCAGGUGUAGCGGUGAAAUGCGUAGAUAUCUGGAGGAACACCGGUGGCGAAGGCGGCAUCCUGGACCGAUAUUGACGCUGAGGCGCGAAAGCCAGGGGAGCAAACGGG
rnacentral:rRNA from 1 species